AAAUACCAAAAUUAGCCAGGCAUGGUGGUGUGCACCUGUAGUCCCAGCUACUUGGGAGGUUGAGACAGGAGAAUAAUAGCUUGAACCCGGAGGCGGAGGUUGCAAUGAGCUGAGAUCGCACCACUGCCCUCCAGCCUGGGUUGAAAAUGCUAUCUUCUUCAUUUAAAAUGAUAAUUUCAUUUCUUCCUCUUCCAGCUUUUCAGAUUCAUAUCUCAAGUGUUUAGGUAUUCAGCUUUUUAUUUUUAGUAGAGACAAGAGUUUGACCAUGUUGGCUGGGCUGGUCUCAAACUCCUGACCUCAAGUGAUCUGCCUGCCUUGGCCUCCCAAAGUGCUGGGAUUAUAGGUGUGAGCCACUGUGCCUGGCCUAGUUUGAGGAUUUCUAAUUAGCCUUACCAAUUAGCAAGUAGAGGCCAAAGUCCUUCUGCAGAGGAAAAGGACCACAGGAAAGGGAGAGAAAGGCCAUUAAGAUAAAUAGCAGGCGAACCUCUAUAGGAAAACAGAGACAUGAAGGUGAGGUCCCCCGUCUCUGGUAAACUCAUGGUUCAAUCAUCAC
rnacentral:lncRNA from 1 species